rnacentral:rRNA from 1 species
CACGUAGGGCGCGAGCGUUGUCCGGAAUUAUUGGGCGUAAAGCGCACGUAGGCGGCUUUGCAAGUCCCAUGUGAAAUCCCACGGCUCAACCGUGGAAGUGCAUGGGAAACUGCAGAGCUUGAGUACUUAAGAGGAUCGCGGAAUUCCCGGUGUAGAGGUGAAAUUCGUAGAUAUCGGGAGGAACACCAGUGGCGAAGGCGGCGAUCUGGGAAGAUACUGACGCUGAGGUGCGAAAGCGUGGGGAGCAAACAGG